UACAGAGGGGGCAAGCGUUGUUCGGAAUUACUGGGCGUAAAGGGCGCGUAGGCGGCCUUCUAAGUCGAACGUGAAAUCCCCGGGCUCAACCCGGGAACUGCGUCCGAUACUGGAAGGCUUGAAUCCGGGAGAGGGAUGCGGAAUUCCAGGUGUAGCGGUGAAAUGCGUAGAUAUCGGAAGGAACACCAGUGGCGAAGGCGACUUCCUGGACCAUCACUGACACUGAGGCACGAAAGCGUGGGGAGCGAACAGG
rnacentral:rRNA from 1 species